GUGGCGGGUGCUAUACAUGCAAGUCGAACGAACUCUGGUAUUGAUUGGUGCUUGCAUCAUGAUUUACAUUUGAGUGAGUGGCGAACUGGUGAGUAACACGUGGGAAACCUGCCCAGAAGCGGGGGAUAACACCUGGAAACAGAUGCUAAUACCGCAUAACAACUUGGACCGCAUGGUCCGAGCUUGAAAGAUGGCUUCGGCUAUCACUUUUGGAUGGUCCCGCGGCGUAUUAGCUAGAUGGUGGGGUAACGGCUCACCAUGGCAAUGAUACGUAGCCGACCUGAGAGGGUAAUCGGCCACAUUGGGACUGAGACACGGCCCAAACUCCUACGGGAGGCAGCAGUAGGGAAUCUUCCACAAUGGACGAAAGUCUGAUGGAGCAACGCCGCGUGAGUGAAGAAGGGUUUCGGCUCGUAAAACUCUGUUGUUAAAGAAGAACAUAUCUGAGAGUAACUGUUCAGGUAUUGACGGUAUUUAACCAGAAAGCCACGGCUAACUACGUGCCAGCAGCCGCGGUAAUACGUAGGUGGCAAGCGUUGUCCGGAUUUAUUGGGCGUAAAGCGAGCGCAGGCGGUUUUUUAAGUCUGAUGUGAAAGCCUUCGGCUCAACCGAAGAAGUGCAUCGGAAACUGGGAAACUUGAGUGCAGAAGAGGACAGUGGAACUCCAUGUGUAGCGGUGAAAUGCGUAGAUAUAUGGAAGAACACCAGUGGCGAAGGCGGCUGUCUGGUCUGUAACUGACGCUGAGGCUCGAAAGUAUGGGUAGCAAACAGGAUUAGAUACCCUGGUAGUCCAUACCGUAAACGAUGAAUGCUAAGUGUUGGAGGGUUUCCGCCCUUCAGUGCUGCAGCUAACGCAUUAAGCAUUCCGCCUGGGGAGUACGGCCGCAAGGCUGAAACUCAAAGGAAUUGACGGGGGCCCGCACAAGCGGUGGAGCAUGUGGUUUAAUUCGAAGCUACGCGAAGAACCUUACCAGGUCUUGACAUACUAUGCAAAUCUAAGAGAUUAGACGUUCCCUUCGGGGACAUGGAUACAGGUGGUGCAUGGUUGUCGUCAGCUCGUGUCGUGAGAUGUUGGGUUAAGUCCCGCAACGAGCGCAACCCUUAUUAUCAGUUGCCAGCAUUAAGUUGGGCACUCUGGUGAGACUGCCGGUGACAAACCGGAGGAAGGUGGGGAUGACGUCAAAUCAUCAUGCCCCUUAUGACCUGGGCUACACACGUGCUACAAUGGAUGGUACAACGAGUUGCGAACUCGCGAGAGUAAGCUAAUCUCUUAAAGCCAUUCUCAGUUCGGAUUGUAGGCUGCAACUCGCCUACAUGAAGUCGGAAUCGCUAGUAAUCGCGGAUCAGCAUGCCGCGGUGAAUACGUUCCCGGGCCUUGUACACACCGCCCGUCACACCAUGAGAGUUUGUAACACCCAAAGUCGGUGGGGUAACCUUUUAGGAACCAGCCGCCUAAGGUGGGACAGAUGAUUAGGGUGAAGUCGUAACAAGAGCCUGC
rnacentral:rRNA from 1 species